UACGAAGGGGGCUAGCGUUGUUCGGAGUUACUGGGCGUAAAGGGCGCGUAGGCGGUUUGGUGAGUUGGGCGUGAAAUUCCUGGGCUCAACCUGGGGGCUGCGCACGAGACGCAUGGACUGGAGUAGGGAAGAGGGUCGUGGAAUUCCCAGUGUAGAGGUGAAAUUCGGUGAUAUUGUUGGGGACUAUCGGAGGCGAAAGCGAUUAUCUAUUAUACACUGACGCUGAGACACUAAAGCAUGGGUAUCAAACAGG
rnacentral:rRNA from 1 species